rnacentral:rRNA from 1 species
CCUACGGGUGGCAGCAGUGGGGAAUAUUGGGCAAUGGGCGAAAGCCUGACGCAGCGACGCCGCGUGAGGGAUGAAGGUCUUCGGAUCGUAAACCUCUGUCAGCAGGGAAGAACGGUCACUGUGCUAAUCAGCAGUGAAUUGACGGUACCUGCAAAGGAAGCACCGGCUAACUCCGUGCCAGCAGCCGCGGUAAUACGGAGGGUGCGAGCGUUAAUCGGAAGUACUGGGCGUAAAGCGCUCGUAGGCGGUAUGUCAAGUCAAGGGUGAAAUCCCCGGGCUCAACGUGGGAACUGCCUUUGAAACUGGCAAACUGGAGUGUGUGAGAGGAAAGGGGAAUUCGAGGUGUAGGAGUGAAAUGCGUAGAUAGCAGGAGGAACAUCAGUGGCGAAGGCGACUAUCUGGCACAUAACUGACGCUGAGGAGCGAAAGCGUGGGUAGCAAACAGGAUUAGAUACCCGAGUAGUC